rnacentral:rRNA from 1 species
GCUGGCGGUAUGCUUAACACAUGCAAGUCGAACGAGAAGGAAGAGCUUGCUCUUCCUGAAAGUGGCGAACGGGUGAGUAACGCGUGGGUAACUACCCUUUGGAAAGGAAUAGCCUCGGGAAACUGGGAGUAAUGCCUUAUAAGAUACGUUUGUCGCAUGGCAUUUGUAUUAAACGCUCCGGCGCCAUAGGAUGGACCCGCGUCCCAUUAGCUAGUUGGUGAGAUAACAGCUCACCAAGGCCACGAUGGGUAACCGGUCUGAGAGGGCGAACGGUCACACUGGAACUGAGACACGGUCCAGACUCCUACGGGAGGCAGCAGUGGGGAAUAUUGCGCAAUGGGGGCAACCCUGACGCAGCAAUACCGCGUGAGUGAAGAAGGUUUUCGGAUCGUAAAGCUCUGUUAUUGGGGAAGAAAAAAAGACGGUACCCAAGAAGAAAGUUCCGGCUAACUACGUGCCAGCAGCCGCGGUAAUACGUAGGGAACAAGCGUUGUCCGGAUUUACUGGGCGUAAAGGGCACGCAGGCGGUUUUUUAAGUCAGAUGUGAAAGGCCACAGCUCAACUGUGGACAUGCAUUUGAAACUGAAAGACUUGAGUAUUGGAGAGGCAAGUGGAAUUCCUAGUGUAGCGGUGAAAUGCGUAGAUAUUAGGAGGAACACCGGUGGCGAAGGCGGCUUGCUGGACAAAUACUGACGCUGA